AUAUGUGACACCUUUCAUGAUCCUUAUUUUGUCUCUUUGUUGCUACAAUAGUUGAUAAGUGGAAGAACGGGCUAUGAUUACAAGUCGGUUAGAAGAUGGACUACCCAAAGGAAGUUGGGAUACAGACUUCUUGAGUGCGACAAAAUAUUUGUCCCUGUUCAUAAAGAAAUACAUUGGUGUUUGGCUGUAAUCAACAAAAAAGA